rnacentral:rRNA from 1 species
GAUGAACGCUGGCGGCGUGCCUAAUACAUGCAAGUCGAGCGAACAGACGAGGAGCUUGCUCCUCUGACGUUAGCGGCGGACGGGUGAGUAACACGUGGAUAACCUACCUAUAAGACUGGGAUAACUUCGAGAAACCGGAGCUAAUACCGGAUAAUAUAUUGAACCGCAUGGUUCAAUAGUGAAAGACGGUUUUGCUGUCACUUAUAGAUGGAUCCGCACCGCAUUAGCUAGUUGGUAAGGUAACGGCUUACCAAGGCGACGAUGCGUAGCCGACCUGAGAGGGUGAUCGGCCACACUGGAACUGAGACACGGUCCAGACUCCUACGGGAGGCAGCAGUAGGGAAUCUUCCGCAAUGGGCGAAAGCCUGACGGAGCAACGCCGCGUGAGUGAUGAAGGUCUUCGGAUCGUAAAACUCUGUUAUUAGGGAAGAACAAAUGUGUAAGUAACUAUGCACGUCUUGACGGUACCUAAUCAGAAAGCCACGGCUAACUACGUG